AUGAACGCUGGCGGCGUGCCUAAUACAUGCCAGUCGAGCGAACAGACGAGGAGCUUGCUCCUCUGACGUUAGCGGCGGACGGGUGAGUAACACGUGGAUAACCUACCUAUAAGACUGGGAUAACUUCGGGAAACCGGAGCUAAUACCGGAUAAUAUAUUGAACCGCCUGGUUCAAUAGUGAAAGACGGUUUUGCUGUCACUUAUAGAUGGAUCCGCGCCGCAUUAGCUAGUUGGUAAGGUAACGGCUUACCAAGGCAACGAUGCGUAGCCGACCUGAGAGGGUGAUCGGCCACACUGGAACUGAGACACGGUCCAGACUCCUACGGGAGGCAGCAGUAGGGAAUCUUCAGCAAUGGGCGAAAGCCUGACGGAGCAACGCCGCGUGAGUGAUGAAGGUCUUCGGAUCGUAAAACUCUGUUAUUAGGGAAGAACAAAUGUGUAAGUAACUAUGCACGUCUUGACGGUACCUAAUCAGAAAGCCACGGCUAACUACGUG
rnacentral:rRNA from 1 species